rnacentral:tRNA from 1 species
AGGAAUAUAGCUCAGUGGUAGAGUACUUACAGGAGGUCUUGGGUUUGAUCUCCACUAUUGCUG